ensembl:lncRNA
GUUAAGAUAUUUGGGAUCUAUUUUUUUUUUUUAAUAUUCCUAAAAAAAAAUGGCAUCCAUGAUAAUGCCAUGGGCAUCUUUUUUUCUUUAAUUUUGCAAAUUAAGAAAUUCAGAAAUAUUUUAUGAGUAUUGACUCCCAAAUAUAAAUCAACAUAAAGAUAUUGAUAAUGUCACAAUAUGUCAAGCAUUCACUAUUAAUUGCCACAUUUUCUUUUUACAGUUUCUCUCUUCGUGAGCCCAUUAGUGAUGCAAAUUGGCACAAGGAGAUUUAAAGUGAGGCAGGCCUGUGGUGACUAACAAUUUGAAAUAUUGUAACGUGGUGCAAAAACCACUCCAGUACAUCAUCAUUAAAGAGAGAAGAAAGUAGAGGAGAUAGAAGUGAAGAGAAGUGAAGUGAAGUCAAAGUCGCUCAGUUGUGUCUGACUCUUUCGACUCCAUGGACUGUAGCCUGCCAGGCUCCUCUGUCCAUGGAAUUUUCCAGGCAAGAAUACUGGAGUAGGCAGCUGUUCCCUUUUCCAGGGGAUCCUCCCAACCCAGAGAUUGAACCCAGGUCUCCCCAUUGCAGACUCUGUGCGACCCUAUGGAGUGCAGUAUUUCAGGCUCCUCCGUCCAUGGGAUUCUCCAGGCAAGC